rnacentral:sRNA from 1 species
GUUUUGCGUUAGUGAUUGCAAUGGCAUCCUUUUUAUGCUGAACUCGUUUCUGUAUCUUUUUUAAAAAAAUCAAUUCUUUUGCAUUGUAACAGAUGCUGAAAUAAAUUCAGCAUAAAUAAAAAGAUAUAAUGGAAAGCACGACCGAAG